rnacentral:rRNA from 1 species
GAGUUUACAACUCCCAACCCCUGUGACAUACCAAUUGUUGCCUCGGCGGAUCAGCCCGCUCCCGGUAAAACGGGACGGCCCGCCACAGGACCCCUAAACUCUGUUUCUAUAUGUAACUUCUGAGUAAAACCAUAAAUAAAUCAAAACUUUCAACAACGGAUCUCUUGGUUCUGGCAUCGAUGAAGAACGCAGCAAAAUGCGAUAAGUAAUGUGAAUUGCAGAAUUCAGUGAAUCAUCGAAUCUUUGAACGCACAUUGCGCCCGCCAGUAUUCUGGCGGGCAUGCCUGUUCGAGCGUCAUUUCAACCCUCAAGCCCAGCUUGGUGUUGGGACUCGCGAGUCAAAUCGCGUUCCCCAAAUUGAUUGGCGGUCACGUCGAGCUUCCAUAGCGUAGUAGUAAAACCCUCGUUACUGGUAAUCGUCGCGGCCACGCCGUUAAACCCCAACUUCUGAAUGUUGACCUCGGAUCAGGUAGGAAUACCCGCUGAACUUAAGCAUAUCAAUAAGCGGAGGAAAAGAAACCAACAGGGAUUGCCCUAGUAACGGCGAGUGAAGCGGCAACAGCUCAAAUUUGAAAUCUGGCUCUCGGGCCCGAGUUGUAAUUUGUAGAGGAUACUUUUGAUGCGGUGCCUUCCGAGUUCCCUGGAACGGGACGCCAUAGAGGGUGAGAGCCCCGUCUGGUUGGAUGCCAAAUCUCUGUAAAGUUCCUUCGACGAGUCGAGUAGUUUGGGAAUGCUGCUCUAAAUGGGAGGUAUAUGUCUUCUAAAGCUAAAUACCGGCCAGAGACCGAUAGCGCACAAGUAGAGUGAUCGAAAGAUGAAAAGCACUUUGAAAAGAGAGUUAAAAAGUACGUGAAAUUGUUGAAAGGGAAGCGUUUAUGACCAGACUUGGGCUUGGUUAAUCAUCUGGGGUUCUCCCCAGUGCACUUUUCCAGUCCAGGCCAGCAUCAGUUUUCGCCGGGGGAUAAAGACUUCGGGAAUGUGGCUCUCUUCGGGGAGUGUUAUAGCCCGUUGUGUAAUACCCUGGCGGGGACUGA